rnacentral:rRNA from 2 species
UAGGGAAUCUUCGGCAAUGGACGAAAGUCUGACCGAGCAACGCCGCGUGAGUGAAGAAGGUUUUCGGAUCGUAAAACUCUGUUGUUAGAGAAGAACAAGGACGUUAGUAACUGAACGUCCCCUGACGGUAUCUAACCAGAAAGCCACGGCUAACUACGUGCCAGCAGCCGCGGUAAUACGUGGGUGGCAAGCGUUGUCCGGAUUUAUUGGGCGUAAAGCGAGCGCAGGCGGUUUCUUAAGUCUGAUGUGAAAGCCCCCGGCUCAACCGGGGAGGGUCAUUGGAAACUGGGAGACUUGAGUGCAGAAGAGGAGAGUGGAAUUCCAUGUGUAGCGGUGAAAUGCGUAGAUAUAUGGAGGAACACCAGUGGCGAAGGCGGCUCUCUGGUCUGUAACUGACGCUGAGGCUCGAAAGCGUGGGGAGCAAACAGG